CAGAAAGUAAUGUAUCUGUAUUAAUUUCCUGUGGCUGCCCUAACAGAUGAUUCCCUCACAGUUCUGGUGGACAGAAGUUCAAAGUCAGUAUUCCUGGACUGAAAUCAAGGUGUUAGCAGGGCUGGGCUCCCUCCAGAUGCUCUAGGUCAUAUCCGUCUCUCGCCUCUUCUGCCUCUGGCGACUGCUAGCAUCUCUUGUCUCGUGGCCGCAUCUCUCCAGUCUUGACCUGUGGUCACAUUGCCUUUUCGUCUGUGUGUGGUCAAAUCUCUCUCCACCUCUCUCCUCUAAGGAUUCACAAUGGUGUUAGGGCUCACCUAGAUAAUCCAGGAUUAUAUCCUCAUCUCAAAAUCUUACUUUAGGAAGUGUACAUCCUACCAGAAAAACACAAGCAAUAAACAACUAAGAAGUAAAAUAUUUAGUAAAUUACCACAAGAUAAAUGCCAUGGGAAGAAAGAAAAUAUGGCAAGGUGACAGGAGCAAGUUGCAUUAUUAAAUAGGAUGGUGAGGGUUGGCCUCAAGGGAAAUGAGAGAUUUGAGUAAAGACUGGAAGGAGGCGAGGAAUGAGCCAAAUGUGUGUCUGAGGAAGAACAUUCCAGGCAGAGGAAACAGCUCUAGUCAAGGCCCUAAGGCAGCAAGGAGUGUGGCUGGGGGACUGUGAACAGAGGGAGAGUAGUAGGAGAUGAGACCAGAGAGGAAGUUGGGGUGAGGGAGAUCAUAGAUGGCCUUAUAGGCUGUUGUAAGGAUGUCAGCCUUUACUCUGAGAUAGGAAGACAUUGCCCAUGUGGAAAUAUUGAUCUUUGAUAGAAGAAUGGAAUUUUGCUCAGUUUUAUCAAGAGGGAAGAGCAGACACGGUAGUUUUGAAUAUUUGGUGGAAGGCAGAUCUCUGAUCUCACUUACCAAAUAUUUAUUCAGCACCUUUUAUGCUAGGCACAAUUCUAAGUACUGGGGGGCAUGACAGUGAACAGAAUGGGCAGCUCCUGUUCACAUGGAGACCCUCCAGAUAAUUACACCCUCCAGAUAAUAACAAACAAGUGCACAUGGGAGACAGGAAGCAAUGCACAAAGAGUGAUACGUGCUUACAGAGAAAACAAGAGAAGAUGACAUGUUAGAGAAUGACUGCGGCAGGAAACCCACUUUAGACAGAAGAGUCAGAGAAGACGUCCCUGAGGAGGUGACAUUUCAACAGAAAUCUGAAUGAAAACAUAGAACCAGCCUUGGAAAGAUGCAGAGCCGUUGUGGAAAGGUCCAGACUCAGAAAAAGGCUUGUAUUUAAGGACUGGACAGAAGGCCAGUAUGCUGUAACAGGGUGAGGAAGGAGGAGGAUCUGGGGUGAGGUGAGACGUGAGCAUUGGGCCCUUUAACCUGUGGUUUGGCUUUUUUUUGGAGACAGUGAGAAGGUUCGAACCUUCAUGGCAUGGUUGGCAUGGUAUGGUUGAUGAUUUAUCAUCCUGGCCUCCUCGAGAGAAUGGACUCUGAGAGAAAGACAAGAGCAGAAGCUGCACAUUGACCAUCAUAGUGGUCCAGAAAUGAUUAUUUGGACUAGGGCCGUAGCAGUGGAGAGAGCCCACAGGCAUUUACGGAGCACCUGCUGUGUACUUGGCUGAGAGCUAGGGGUGCCACAAAGUCUGCUGGGGAACUGGGCAAUAACAUUAGCAUGUGUUAAGUGCUAAAAGGUCAGUGUGACUUACCAUGGUGACUGUCCCAAAUCUUUCCUAUUCAUAAGUCCCUACAGUCUACACCCUCACACUACAACCCCAAAUCUUCCCAAGGAAAAGAGUCGAUGUGGUGAGCAUUUUCUCAGGUUCUCCAUACCUCUAAGCUCACCUGUCAGAGUAGCCAUCUUCACAUCCUCCUCCCUUUCCACGGAAAAGAUAUCCUGUCUUCUGUCUUCCUCCCCUCAUACUCUGGAUCUAUCCCCUUCCUCUCCUCCCGGGCUUCAUUCCACUGUUACGCUGGCUGUCACCUACCCCCUCCCUCUCUCCGCUUGUCUCCUUUCCAUCUGAAUACAAACAUCUCAGUUCUUCACCAUCCCACUUCAUCUCCAGCCUCCAUUCCACUUCUGUCCUCUCCUUCACUACCAAGUCUCUUUAGAAAUUGUCUGAUCUCUGUCUUGAACACUUGCUCACUUCUUUCCCUCCUCAACCCCUGCAGUUGGUUCUGUCCUCUCCAUUCCCCAAUAGUGUGUUCCCUAAGGGGCCAGUGACUUUCAUGUAUUACC
rnacentral:lncRNA from 1 species